rnacentral:rRNA from 1 species
GGGAUAACAGGCUGAUUCCUCCCAAGUGUUCAUAUCGACGGGGGAGUUUGGCACCUCGAUGUCGGCUAAUCACAUCCUGGGGCUGUAGCCGGUCCCAAGGGUAUGGCUGUUCGCCAUUUAAAGUGGUACGUGAGCGGGGUUUAAAACGUCGUGAGACAGUUUGGUCCCUAUCUGCCGUGGGCGUUGGAAUUUUUAAGGGACCUGCUCCUAGUACGAGAGGUCCGGAGUGGACAGAUCUCUGGUGUACCGGUUUUCACGCCAGUGGUAUUGACGGGUAGCUAAAUCUGGAAGAGAUAACCGCUGAAAGCAUCUAAGCGGGAAACUCGCCUUGAGAUAAGAUUUCCCUGGGCUUUAAGCCUUCUAAAGAGUCGUUCGAGACCAGGACGUUGAUAGGUCAGGUGUGGAAGCGCAGUAAUGCGUUAAGCUAACUGAUACUAAUUGCUCGUGAGGCUUGAUCCU